rnacentral:rRNA from 1 species
UAGAUAUAUGGAAGAACACCAGUGGCGAAGGCGGCUGUCUGGUCUGUAACUGACGCUGAGGCUCGAAAGCAUGGGUAGCGAACAGGAUUAGAUACCCUGGUAGUCCAUGCCGUAAACGAUGAAUGCUAGGUGUUGGAGCUUCAGUGCCGCAGCUAACGCAUUAAGCAUUCCGCCUGGGGAGUACGACCGCAAGGUUGAAACUCAAAGGAAUUGACGGGGGCCCGCACAAGCGGUGGAGCAUGUGGUUUAAUUCGAAGCAACGCGAAGAACCUUACCAGGUCUUGACAUCUUUUGAUCACCUGAGAGAUCAGGUUCAAAAUGACAGGUGGUGCAUGGUUGUCGUCAGCUCGUGUCGUGAGAUGUUGGGUUAAGUCCCGCAACGAGCGCAACCCUUAUGACUAGUUGCCAGCAUGGGUACUCUAGUAAGACUGCCGGUGACAAACCGGAGGAAGGUGGGGAUGACGUCAAAUCAUCAUGCCCCUUAUGACCUGGGCUACACACGUGCUACAAUGGAUGGUACAACGAGUUGCGAGACCGCGAGGUCAAGCUAAUCUCUUAAAGCCAUUCUCAGUUCGGACUGUAGGCUGCAACUCGCCUACACGAAGUCGGAAUCGCUAGUAAUCGCGGAUCAGCACGCCGCGGUGAAUACGUUCCCGGGCCUUGUACACACCGCCCGUCACACCAUGAGAGUUUGUAACACCCGAAGCCGGUGCCGUCUAAGGUGGGACAAAUGAUUAGGGUGAAGUCGUAACAAGGUAACCGUAAACGAAUCUGCAGAUAUCCAUC